GAAAUGCGAUAAUUAAUGUGAAUUGCAGAAUUCAGUGAAUCAUCGAGUCUUUGAACGCACAUUGCGCCCCCUGGUAUUCCGGGGGGCAAGCCUGUCCGAGCGUCAUUGCUGCCCUCAAGCACGGCUUGUGUGUUGGGCUUCCGUCCCUGGCAACGGGGACGGGCCCAAAAGGCAGUGGCGGCACCAUGUCUGGUCCUCGAGCGUAUGGGGCUUUGUCACCCGCUCCCGUAGGUCCAGCUGGCAGCUAGCCUCGCAACCAAUCUUUUUAACCAGGUUGACCUCGGAUCAGGUAGGGAUACCCGCUGAACUUAAGC
rnacentral:misc_RNA from 1 species